rnacentral:lncRNA from 1 species
CUGGGAGGAGCGGAGUUCCUGAGUGGGAUCGUGCGGCCCCUCGUCCUAGCGCGCAGCGUUCUCAGGCAGGGGCUGGAGUGGGGCCGGUCGUGCAAGCGCUGUCGGGGUGCAAACCUGAAAAGCCCUGUCUGAAUGCAGGUAUGUGCAGAAGGAAGGAAAAGAACAAAGCUAAAGUUCCUCACCUGCUGGACACUUAAGGGGAAAGGCUGUCACUACUCUUCUACUAAAGUUAGAAAAAAUAAAAUUGGAGUGGAAAUUUGAAGGCUGCCCAGAUAACUGAUUUAUUUGAAGGAAUGCCACAAGGAAUGUUGUGAUUAUUUCGUCUUGUGUGAAAUUCAUAAAAUAUUUUUAAAAGUUAAGUGCAGUGCUGAUUACUAACAGUUGGGAAGGGUUGGAGUGGUGUUGCAGC